GAUGAAGAACGUAGCGAAAUGCGAUAAGUAGUGUGAAUUGCAGAAUUCAGUGAAUCAUCGAAUCUUUGAACGCACAUUGCGCCCUUUGGUAUUCCUUAGGGCAUGCCUGUUCGAGCGUCAUUUAAACCUUCAAGCCCUGCUUGGUGUUGGGUGCCUGUCCCGCCUCCGCGCGUGGACUCACCUCAAAUCCAUUGGCGGCCCCCGCACGGCCACGAGCGCAGCAGAAACGCAAACUCGUGCCCCGACUGGGCGGCUCCCAGAAGCUACACUCACCAUUUUGACCUCGGAUCAGGUAGGGAUACCCGCUGAACUUAAGCAUAUCAAUAAGCGGAGGA
rnacentral:misc_RNA from 1 species